CCCUUAGAUGUUCUGGGCGGCCCGCGCACUACAAUGGCGCCUUCAGCGAGUUCCUAUGUUGAAUUUUCCUGGGUAUUCUUGGAAGCGGCGUCUUGACUUGGGAUAGAUCCUUGUAAUUGUUGGUUUUGAACGAGGAAUUCCUUGUAAUCGCGGUUGAUCAGCUCGCGUUGAAUACGUCCCUGCCCUUUGUACACACCGCCCGUCGCUCCUACCGAUGAAUCGUCCGGUGAAGUUCACAGAGUGGCGGUUCGUGGAGUUGCUCGCGAAGUGAAAUGGACCUCACGAUUUAGAGGAAGGAGAAGUCGUAACA
rnacentral:rRNA from 1 species